UACAAUUUCAUGACAUUAUCCAAGCACAAUCAUUAAUUUUUCAGGAUAUUGAGGGAUGAUUUCCAUCAACCAUCCAUAUCCACCACCACCAGUGCCACUCCGUCCGCACACAAACAAACACACAAUCCGGCCCCCCAACAAACCUCGCACGCUGCACCUCACAACCACGGCGGCGCUGCCUUCUAUUAUCCUCGCAGCCACCGCUCCGCCGGCUGGGAAGCUCUCGGUUCUUCUUCAGACAGGUGGUGUGUGCCUAGUUGCGUAUUGGGUUGCAAAUUUUGUGGUGCCGGGAAUCGUUCUCAAGGAUCUUCAAUCCAAAGAGAAAGAAGAUAAUUCAAAUGAAGAGGAAAGUUGAAUCAAACUUGUUUAGAUAGAUUCAAUUAUAGGAAGAAUUCAUGGGUUGCUCUCUUUUUCACUACAAAUCAUGCCAUAUUUAUUUUUGUUUUGUGAAAUUUAUCCUACUCUAGUUACUUAUUCUUCAAAUUUAUAA